GGGAAAGAGGUCUAAUGGAUUUGCAUUUGGUCCACUUGUAGGAAUAGCUGCCGUUUGCGCAGGCUGUUGAGGUUGUGCUGCAGGGUUAGUGGCUUGCCCAACUACAGGAGCACGGGCCACAGGUGGAGCUUCAGCUUGCUCGGGGAUGCCCUGGCAUUUGCAACAAUAAUUUAUGACACGAUGGCAAGCAGCAGCUUAGGAAACAAAAUGCAUGCUUGUUAUAUUUUUUUUUAAAAAAAAAGAAAAGAAAGAUAAGCGUGCAGUAUACAAUAUCAUUAAAACCCACCAUAAAACAAAUUAAAACACACCAGAAAUCCAAUAUUCCUGUUCACUUUUUUUUUUUGGGGGGGGGUGUUAAGUCAAAAAAGUUAUCAUCAAAGGAAAAUUCACAAUUCCCACACACUUAUCCACCAAGUCAAAAAGGACCAGCAAAAUGGAACAGAGGAGGCAUAUUUUGGGUGUGCAGAAAUUCGAUCAUCAUCGACCAAUAAAUCAUGGCAAGGAGAAGGCCAAGUUUCAAAUAGAAUUACAUCAAAUUAAAAAUGACAAAAUGGCAUAAUCAUCAUUCCAAGAAAACCUCUCAGGAUGAGCUCAGCUUAUUAGGCUAUCCCCACAUCUACAUUAAGGAGAACAACAAAACAACAGCAACUAGAAGCACGCAAGAAAGCACAUAUUCUUCAAGAUACAAGGAAGGUACUUACAGAAUACAAAUAUUCAACAGCUCUCUCUGGGUUAUUAUAAGCAGCACGAAGGGCACGGACAACAGUGUCCCUGUCCCAGGUCCCUCCACCCAUAUCAAGAAUCUGUUGGAUUGUUCCCUCUAAGUUACUCCCUGCAACCAGGUUAGAUGCUGCUUGGCCAUAAACAUCA
rnacentral:lncRNA from 1 species